ACAUCCAAGCCAAACCCGCCGAAAAUCCACCGAGCCUUUGGUUUUCUUACUCCUUCAUCUUCGAUUUCUUGCUCUUGGGUAAGGACCUUGGUCUUUACUGAAAUAUAACUAAUAAUAUAAAUUAUAUGUGUUUAAUGAAUUUACCUAAUUAAUAUAAAUUAUAUGUGUUUUAAUGAAUUUUAUGUUUGAGGUUUAAUUUUGAGCUUUAGAAGAUAAAGUUUGUAUUGCAUGUCUCAUCGGGUAAUCCCUAAGAUAAAAUUAUGAAAUUUGGUGGUAGUCUAGAUCUUUCGGUUAGCUUCAUGUUGAUAUAAAUUAUGCAUAAAUCAGAUUUAUAUUGAUUAAGUUAUGAAUCGUUUUCUGAAUCUGCACAGUUUCGGAGUCAUCCACGAAUUAUGUGUUAAAUAGCUUUUUAUACUACUCUUAUUGAAGUGAUUUCACUCGAAUAUGAUUAUGUACUUAUGAAACUAAUAUUCUACGAAAUUUGGUAAUUUUUGGAUUAAGUGAUGAAUUAUUUGGUAUUUUUAAAGUUAGUGGAUCUGUUCUGAAUUUCUGCUUAUGUUACUGCACUAAAUUGAUUAUAUCUCUUACAUAGGUGAGUUUCUUCAUAAACUGUUUUAACCCUAUAAACUAGACUUAGAUAUGAACAUGUGUUCCAAAUUUCAUCAGGUUUGGAUCUACGGAUUAGGAGAUAUGAAUUUCUGAAGUUAUAGUGCCUAAACUGCCAGAUCUGUUUUGAUCAAAGAUGUAGAUAUAGAUUACUAAUGAAUUUUCAGGUUUUCAGUCUCGGAGUUUACUGCAUGGUUCACAGGUGCCCUGUUUUCCUAAAAUCACGAAAUUUCAUGGGUAACUAGAUCUUUCUGUUCUCUUUAAUUUGAUAUAUUUUAAUCAUCAAUCGGAUUUCAGAUGAUUAAGAUAUGAACUAUUUACUAAACCUGCACAGCCUUUGAGUCAGCUGAGUAUUUUCUUCUAAAAUCGAUGUUUUCUUACUUGGAUUUCCUUCAUUCCACUUGGAAUAUAUUUAUAACUUAUAAAACCAGUUUUCGGCAAAGGUGUGCAGUGUUUUAACAAAAGGGUGAUUUAUUGAGUAUUUUUAAAGUGGUUGGUUCUGUUUCUGAAAGUGUGACCAUACUACUGUACUAUUUUACUUAUUUCUCUUAGGCUAUUGGUCUUCUUGGAAAACUGUUUUAAAGGAGUCUUUUCCACUGAUAUAGGAGUAUCAUGUUAAAGUUUCAGAAUUUUUGGAAUUACGGUUUAAGAGAAAUGUAAUUUCAAAGUUAAAGUGUCAAAACUGUGAGAUUUUCCUAAAACAAGUUAUUUAGAAUUAAAGGGGUCCUUUGUGGGCAUGGUUUAAACUCUUGAGACAUGACUUACAUGGUAAUAGAUAUAGAUUAAGUUACAUAGAUUAUUAUGUCACAUCUAAGAACCAUUAUUAGAGUAGAUAUAUGUAAGAUAAAAAGACUAGUAUAUAUUUAGAACGAUACGUUGUUCUUGAAACCUUCUAUGUGCUAGUACUUCUAAUGAGAUUUGAUUUUCUAUAGUCCCUUGAAUAGGAAUUAUGUGAAAUAUUGAAUUUCAUGAUGAUUAUUUGAAUAAUGUUUUUACUCUUAUGAGGUAUAAGUAUGUAUAUAUAUAUAUAAGUAUAUAUAUGUAUAUCGAUAGUUUAUACCUAUGAUGUUAUGGGCGUACUCCCCUCGGGUUGAGGAAACUUAUAACCCAUAGAUUAUAAAUUAGAGUAUAUACGUAUAUGUAUGAGUAUAUAAAUACGUAUAAGUGCCUAUGUGUAUAUACGUGUAAAAGUAUAUGUGUCUUUAUUACUAAUGUUUGAUCUAUAUGUGCUUACUAUUGUUUCAGAAUUUGCUUCCAGUUUAUAUGAUUUGAUUAUUCGAGUGAUGUGAUUAACUCCUUUCGAACUGAACAUCUUCGUCUUAAAAUCACUUANNNNNNNNNNNNNNNNNNNNNNNNNNNNNNNNNNNNNNNNNNNNNNNNNNNNNNNNNNNNNNNNNNNNNNNNNNNNNNNNNNNNNNNNNNNNNNNNNNNNNNNNNNNNNNNNNNNNNNNNNNNNNNNNNCGGCGGACCGGUAUCCCAAAAUGACAAGUUACUAUAGACUGCAGGGUGGGUAGCUCUCACCAAAGACCUGGCUCAGUAUAAAAACGUCUAUUGUCGAUGCUUACGUUAGGGUUUUGAUAGGGAUCCCGUCAUACGCAUCUACGCAUAAAAAUAAUUUUGGAAGAAAAACGAUUUUCAAAAAGAUUUUAAAAGAAAUUAUGUUUUUAAAAGAAAGGGACUUUUUGCCUAAAUCGGAUUCGCAAGUAAAUUGUGAAUUAAAUUACAAGAAUGAUUCCCAUAAUGAUUUUUAAGCAGUUUUUGAAACAAAACCAUAUUUUCGUUGUAAAGCUCUCGAUUUCAAGAGAAAAUAUGUUAUGUGCUUAUAUGUGUAUUUAUGUGAUUGAAUAUGUGUGACGUGUUUGUAUUUCAUUAGUUAUGAUGAUGGAUAGAGAUAAUAUAAUUAGUUGGAAAGAACAUAGACGAAUACUUUAGGACUCCCAUAGGUCGUGAGAGAUACGAUGAGAGAGGCGUGAGUUCGUCAGACUAAGACUAAUGUCCUUACUGAGCCAGUGUUUGGGCUCAUGCUUUUAUGCAAAUUAUCUUUUCAGGUUCUCCAAACUACGUAGGAGGCCGGCGGAGAGGAGUUCGAGGAAUCACGAGCCUUGGUGCCUAGAUUAUUUUACUCGUAUUUUCUACGCAACGUUUUAUCGAAAAACUAAUCACAUAGUAUAAUCUUAUUUUGUACUCUGAUUGGAACCCAGUCUAUUAAACGGGGG
rnacentral:lncRNA from 1 species